rnacentral:rRNA from 1 species
UACAGAGGUGGCAAGCGUUGUUCGGAAUUACUGGGCGUAAGGGCUCGUAGGCGGCCAACUAAGUCAAACGUGAAAUCCCUCGGCUUAACCGGGGAACUGCGUCUGAUACUGGAUGGCUUGAGUUUGGGAGAGGGAUGCGGAAUUCCAGGUGUAGCGGUGAAAUGCGUAGAUAUCUGGAGGAACACCGGUGGCGAAGGCGGCGUCCUGGACCAACACUGACGCUGAGGAGCGAAAGCCAG